rnacentral:lncRNA from 1 species
CUUUCACAGGCCUGCUCUCCCUUUCCACUCCUACUUGGAUGUUCUCAUACUUCUUACACUCCACCACCCUUUUCUGGAGCUCUUCUGAAAUCUUACCAUCUUGCAUCAGAUGCUUCAAGAGCUGAUAACCAGCCACAGACCAGGGACUAUAACCCGGGUGACCGAGCAGGGACUUUGGGAUCAUCAAGCCAUUUCAAGCUCUCCAUUCACUCAUUACAUGACCUUGGACAUCCAACAACUAUUGGACCCAAUGGACUGUGCUUUCAUGACAAACAUUCCUGCAAAGGCCUGGAUACAAAUUAAUGUUGGGACGUUGAUGCUUCUGCCCAUCAGAAAGAAAGUAUAAAAUCUCAAAAGAGUGCACAAAGGAGCCAUAAAGAUUAUUUGGAACGACCCUUUCAUUUUAUGGAUGAGAAAGGUUGAGUCAAACAUCAUGGUGCCACUGGAUGGCAGAGGCAAGGCUGAGACAAAGGUCUCCUAUCCCUGUCCUAAAACUGUUUGCACUAAUAUGUUAUUCCUGGAUAUAUAAUUUUUUUUUAAUUUGAACUUUGGUUGGUAAGAAAACUUGAUUUAACCACCUUUCCUGGUUAAUGGAGGUCUCACCUUACCACACUCCAACCUCACAGUCGGUCAUUAGCAGGCUGCAGAAAGAGCAGCCUUCAAGGGCAGGAAUGAGUCAUGGUGAUAAACUGUGCUUAGUAGAACAAGUACCCAAGCCUGUGUCCCUACUAUCCCUCUCAGCGAUAUUAGACAAGCAAUAAAACCUUAAUUUUCCCUUAAUUCA